GGCCCUCGGCCUCUUUGCACCGGGCAGAGUGACGAGCUUCGCCGGUGUCUUCAUUGAAGUCCUGUUGGUCCCUACCGGCACAUCACACACUCCUGGAAGCAUGAUCUUCACUCCCUUCCUUCCACCUGCUGACCUGUCUGUCUUUCAGAAUGUGAAAGGGCCGCAAAAAGACCCUGAGGAAUUGGUUGCUGUAUCUGACACCGCGGAGGACCCAUCCAGUGGCACAGGCUUGCCCAGGGAACCUGCUCUUCUGCGAGGGUCUUGGAGGAGCCGGUUCCAGAGGGCCCUGGCAUGUUUCAUCAAGUGCUUCAGGGGAGGAUACCGGGCACUCGGAAUCUGAGACCACCGGAGCCACAGACACAGGCGUGAACGGUGACCGAGCCCCCUCUGAUGCUCCAUGCCCCUGCUCGCCCCAGUGUCCCGGUCACCGGGCCUGAAAUAAAUGCUGGCACGCUUGACUGUU
rnacentral:lncRNA from 1 species